UUAAGCGACUAAGCGUACACGGUGGAUGCCCUGGCAGUCAGAGGCGAUGAAGGACGUGCUAAUCUGCGAUAAGCGUCGGUAAGGUGAUAUGAACCGUUAUAACCGGCGAUUUCCGAAUGGGGAAACCCAGUGUGUUUCGACACACUAUCAUUAACUGAAUCCAUAGGUUAAUGAGGCGAACCGGGGGAACUGAAACAUCUAAGUACCCCGAGGAAAAGAAAUCAACCGAGAUUCCCCCAGUAGCGGCGAGCGAACGGGGAGCAGCCCAGAGCCUGAAUCAGUGUGUGUGUUAGUGGAAGCGUCUGGAAAGGCGCGCGAUACAGGGUGACAGCCCCGUACACAAAAAUGCACAUGCUGUGAGCUCGAUGAGUAGGGCGGGACACGUGGUAUCCUGUCUGAAUAUGGGGGGACCAUCCUCCAAGGCUAAAUACUCCUGACUGACCGAUAGUGAACCAGUACCGUGAGGGAAAGGCGAAAAGAACCCCGGCGAGGGGAGUGAAAAAGAACCUGAAACCGUGUACGUACAAGCAGUGGGAGCACAGAGCAAUCUGUGUGACUGCGUACCUUUUGUAUAAUGGGUCAGCGACUUAUAUUCUGUAGCAAGGUUAACCGAAUAGGGGAGCCGAAGGGAAACCGAGUCUUAACUGGGCGUUAAGUUGCAGGGUAUAGACCCGAAACCCGGUGAUCUAGCCAUGGGCAGGUUGAAGGUUGGGUAACACUAACUGGAGGACCGAACCGACUAAUGUUGAAAAAUUAGCGGAUGACUUGUGGCUGGGGGUGAAAGGCCAAUCAAACCGGGAGAUAGCUGGUUCUCCCCGAAAGCUAUUUAGGUAGCGCCUCGUGAAUUCAUCUCCGGGGGUAGAGCACUGUUUCGGCAAGGGGGUCAUCCCGACUUACCAACCCGAUGCAAACUGCGAAUACCGGAGAAUGUUAUCACGGGAGACACACGGCGGGUGCUAACGUCCGUCGUGAAGAGGGAAACAACCCAGACCGCCAGCUAAGGUCCCAAAGUCAUGGUUAAGUGGGAAACGAUGUGGGAAGGCCCAGACAGCCAGGAUGUUGGCUUAGAAGCAGCCAUCAUUUAAAGAAAGCGUAAUAGCUCACUGGUCGAGUCGGCCUGCGCGGAAGAUGUAACGGGGCUAAACCAUGCACCGAAGCUGCGGCAGCGACGCUUAUGCGUUGUUGGGUAGGGGAGCGUUCUGUAAGCCUGUGAAGGUGUGCUGUGAGGCAUGCUGGAGGUAUCAGAAGUGCGAAUGCUGACAUAAGUAACGAUAAAGCGGGUGAAAAGCCCGCUCGCCGGAAGACCAAGGGUUCCUGUCCAACGUUAAUCGGGGCAGGGUGAGUCGACCCCUAAGGCGAGGCCGAAAGGCGUAGUCGAUGGGAAACAGGUUAAUAUUCCUGUACUUGGUGUUACUGCGAAGGGGGGACGGAGAAGGCUAUGUUGGCCGGGCGACGGUUGUCCCGGUUUAAGCGUGUAGGCUGGUUUUCCAGGCAAAUCCGGAAAAUCAAGGCUGAGGCGUGAUGACGAGGCACUACGGUGCUGAAGCAACAAAUGCCCUGCUUCCAGGAAAAGCCUCUAAGCAUCAGGUAACAUCAAAUCGUACCCCAAACCGACACAGGUGGUCAGGUAGAGAAUACCAAGGCGCUUGAGAGAACUCGGGUGAAGGAACUAGGCAAAAUGGUGCCGUAACUUCGGGAGAAGGCACGCUGAUAUGUAGGUGAAGUCCCUCGCGGAUGGAGCUGAAAUCAGUCGAAGAUACCAGCUGGCUGCAACUGUUUAUUAAAAACACAGCACUGUGCAAACACGAAAGUGGACGUAUACGGUGUGACGCCUGCCCGGUGCCGGAAGGUUAAUUGAUGGGGUCAGCGCAAGCGAAGCUCUUGAUCGAAGCCCCGGUAAACGGCGGCCGUAACUAUAACGGUCCUAAGGUAGCGAAAUUCCUUGUCGGGUAAGUUCCGACCUGCACGAAUGGCGUAAUGAUGGCCAGGCUGUCUCCACCCGAGACUCAGUGAAAUUGAACUCGCUGUGAAGAUGCAGUGUACCCGCGGCAAGACGGAAAGACCCCGUGAACCUUUACUAUAGCUUGACACUGAACAUUGAGCCUUGAUGUGUAGGAUAGGUGGGAGGCUUUGAAGUGUGGACGCCAGUCUGCAUGGAGCCGACCUUGAAAUACCACCCUUUAAUGUUUGAUGUUCUAACGUUGACCCGUAAUCCGGGUUGCGGACAGUGUCUGGUGGGUAGUUUGACUGGGGCGGUCUCCUCCUAAAGAGUAACGGAGGAGCACGAAGGUUGGCUAAUCCUGGUCGGACAUCAGGAGGUUAGUGCAAUGGCAUAAGCCAGCUUGACUGCGAGCGUGACGGCGCGAGCAGGUGCGAAAGCAGGUCAUAGUGAUCCGGUGGUUCUGAAUGGAAGGGCCAUCGCUCAACGGAUAAAAGGUACUCCGGGGAUAACAGGCUGAUACCGCCCAAGAGUUCAUAUCGACGGCGGUGUUUGGCACCUCGAUGUCGGCUCAUCACAUCCUGGGGCUGAAGUAGGUCCCAAGGGUAUGGCUGUUCGCCAUUUAAAGUGGUACGCGAGCUGGGUUUAGAACGUCGUGAGACAGUUCGGUCCCUAUCUGCCGUGGGCGCUGGAGAACUGAGGGGGGCUGCUCCUAGUACGAGAGGACCGGAGUGGACGCAUCACUGGUGUUCGGGUUGUCAUGCCAAUGGCACUGCCCGGUAGCUAAAUGCGGAAGAGAUAAGUGCUGAAAGCAUCUAAGCACGAAACUUGCCCCGAGAUGAGUUCUCCCUGACCCUUUAAGGGUCCUGAAGGAACGUUGAAGACGACGACGUUGAUAGGCCGGGUGUGUAAGCGCAGCGAUGCGUUGAGCUAACCGGUACUAAUGAACCGUGAGGCUUAACCU
rnacentral:rRNA from 1 species